GUGAGGUCAUCAGGGAUCUUGGAUGGAUCCAGCUUGAAAAGGAAUGUUUUAGCAUUCGGAUUCUUUAAUCCGUGCUAUUGCCCAGCUGCCACCUGAGGAAAGGGAGACCAAAGAGGAGAAGACUCUUGAUUCUGAAAUUGGUGCGGAUUUGCUAAGGAAAAAAAAAUCUAUCCAAAUAUCUUUUGCACUGAGAUCAUGAAGGAGAGAGGUGGGAUCUGGUGGAGAUGGGAGAGGGCCAGGGGCAAAGAGAUCUACUGACCAGCAGAGAAGAGCCAGAACAGGACAGAAACAGAGACCUCAGCCUAAAACAGAUGACUCAUAGUUGUUUCAGCCUGUAGAUCCCCACCUCAUUUUAUUGAGUAAGAAAAGAUGUGGUGGCGGGUGUGGGGGGAGAGAAAAGAAAUUAAAACACCCCAAUCCUUUUAAUUCGGCUCAAGAUUUACUCUGCAUAACCCAGCCAUAUUUUAGAUAGGAAAUUCAUGGCUCCCCUGUCCCCAGUAACAGAAGGGUGAUCUUUAUGGGACCAGCGUGAGGAAGCUGGCGGGCACAGCCCCCAUCACAUUAAACUGUCUCAGUGAAGAGGCAAUUUGUUUG
rnacentral:lncRNA from 1 species